rnacentral:tRNA from 1 species
CCUUCGAUAGCUCAGUUGGUAAAGCGGUGGACUGUAGAAGAAGCUUUGCGAGAAGAAAUCCAUAGGUCGCUGGUUCAAAUCCGGCUCGAAGGA